rnacentral:rRNA from 1 species
AUACGGAGGGGGUUAGCGUUGUUCGGAAUUACUGGGCGUAAAGCGCACGUAGGCGGAUUGGAAAGUUGGGGGUGAAAUCCCAGGGCUCAACCCUGGAACUGCCUCCAAGACUAACAGUCUAGAGUUCGAGAGAGGUGAGUGGAAUUCCAAAUGUAGAGGUGAAAUUCGUAGAUAUUUGGAGGAACACCAGUGGCGAAGGCGGCUCACUGGCUCGAUACUGACGCUGAGGUGCGAAAGCGUGGGGAGCAAACAGGAUUAGAAACCCUAGUAGUCC